rnacentral:rRNA from 1 species
UACGUAGGGGGCAAGCGUUGUCCGGAAUUAUUGGGCGUAAAGAGCGCGUAGGCGGUCCGAUAAGUCGGCUGUGAAAGUCAGGGGCUCAACCCUUGAAAGCCGGCCGAUACUGUCGGACUAGAGUCCGGAAGAGGCAAGUGGAAUUCCCGGUGUAGCGGUGAAAUGCGCAGAUAUCGGGAGGAACACCAAUGGCGAAGGCAGCUUGCUGGGACGGUACUGACGCUGAGGCGCGAAAGCGUGGGGAGCAAACCGG